rnacentral:rRNA from 1 species
AUCGGCUUGCGGGUCGAUGUGAGCCAACGGUGAGAUACCACUCUUUGCGAGCUAGGGUUCUAACGGCCACCCGUCAUCCGGGGGCCGGACAGUACCUGGUGGGCAGUUUGACUGGGGCGGUCGCCUCCUAAAAGGUAACGGAGGCGCGCAAAGGUUUGCUCAGGCUGGUUGGAAAUCAGCCGACGAGUGUAAAAGCAGAAGCAAGCUUGACUGUGAGACCAACAAGUCGAACAGGGAGGAAACUCGGCUUUAGUGAUCCGACGGUUCUGAGUGGAAGGGCCGUCGCUCAACGGAUAAAAGUUACUCUAGGGAUAACA